rnacentral:rRNA from 1 species
CCUACGGGAGGCAGCAGUAAGGAAUAUUGGUCAAUGGACGAAAGUCUGAACCAGCCAUGCCGCGUGAAGGAUUAAGGCCCUCUGGGUUGUAAACUUCUUUUAUCUGGGACGAAAAAAGGGUAUUCUUACUCGCUUGACGGUACCAGAGGAAUAAGCACCGGCUAACUCCGUGCCAGCAGCCGCGGUAAUACGGAGGGUGCAAGCGUUAUCCGGAUUUACUGGGUUUAAAGGGUGCGUAGGUGGGCUUGUAAGUCAGUGGUGAAAUCUCCGGGCUUAACCCGGAAACUGCCAUUGAUACUAUAGGUCUUGAAUUAUCUGGAGGUAAGCGGAAUAUGUCAUGUAGCGGUGAAAUGCUUAGAUAUGACAUAGAACACCAAUUGCGAAGGCAGCUUACUACGGAUAUAUUGACACUGAGGCACGAAAGCGUGGGGAUCAAACAGGAUUAGAUACCCUGGUAGUCCACGCCCUAAACGAUGGAUACUCGACAUCAGCGAUACACUGUUGGUGUCUGAGCGAAAGCAUUAAGUAUCCCACCUGGGAAGUACGAUCGCAAGAUUGAAACUCAAAUGAAUUGACGG